CCUACGGGCGGCAGCAGUGGGGAAUAUUGCACAAUGGGGGAAACCCUGAUGCAGCGACGCCGCGUGAGUGAAGGAGUAAUUCGUUAUGUAAAGCUCUAUCAGCAGGGAAGAAAAUGACGGUACCUGAGCAAGAAGCCCCGGCUAACUACGUGCCAGCAGCCGCGGUAAUACGUAGGGGGCAAGCGUUAUCCGGAUUUACUGGGUGUAAAGGGAGCGUAGACGGGAAUGCAAGUCUGGCGUGAAAGGCGGGGGCCCAACCCCCGGACUGCUCUGGAAACUGGACGGCUGGAGUGCAGGAGAGGUAAGUGGAAUUCCUAGUGUAGCGGUGAAAUGCGUAGAUAUUAGGAGGAACACCAGUGGCGAAGGCGGCUUACUGGACUGUAACUGACGUUGAGGCUCGAAGGCGUGGGGAGCAAACAGGAUUAGAUACCCGAGUAGUC
rnacentral:rRNA from 1 species